UACAGAGGGUGCAAGCGUUAAUCGGAACUACUGGGCGUAAAGCGUGCGUAGACGGUUAUGUAAGUCGGGUGUGAAAGCCCCGGGCUCAACCUGGGAAUUGCAUUCGAGACUGCAUAGCUAGGGUGCGGAAGAGGGAAGCGGAAUUUCCGGUGUAGCGGUGAAAUGCGUAGAUAUCGGAAGGAACACCAGUGGCGAAAGCGGCUUCCUGGUCCAGCACCGACGUUCAGGCACGAAAGCGUGGGGAGCAAACAGG
rnacentral:rRNA from 1 species